AAAAUUCCACUUAAAAUUCAAAUAUUCCUUUGGCAGCUGUUCCAAGAUGUUGUCUUGACAAGAGAUGUCAUGAAGCGAAGACGCUGGGCUGGUAAUCCGAAAUGUUCAUUUUGUAGAGACAGAGAGACCUCUCAGCAUCUCUUCUUUACAUGUCCUGUAGCCAGAGUGGUCUGGAGGACGGUGGGCUGUGCUUUGGGUACUGAUAGAUGCCCAAACAAUAUUUCACAAUUUUUUUCCUGGUGUUAUGUUUUCCUCCCUGAUGGUGAAAGAUUUUACACCUUCGGAUUAGCGGCCAUUUGUUGGGCAAUUUGGAAUUGUCGCAACCAAGCUACCUUUGAACUGAAAAAUCUUAAAACCCCUUUUGCUGUGAGCUUUUCAGCAUGUGGCUGGAUGAUGAAUGGAGAGGAUCGGGAGAUGAUAGAACGGGGGUCCAAGAUGUUGAAGGCCAGCGCUUCAGCCAUUAUGAGGAUCUGCGCAGCGCCGGGUGAGAAGAUGCUGGACUGA
rnacentral:rRNA from 1 species